rnacentral:misc_RNA from 1 species
GUAGGUGAACCUGCGGAAGGAUCAUUAACGUGCGUUUUCACAAACACACAAAUUUAUAAGUAAACCGAGAACUGUUCUAUUCCUAUGUACUGGGACAUUAGUGAGGGGAUGCAGGCGAAUGCGAUGAGUCUACAAACCACGCUGUUGUAGCUCUAAGAUGCUACCCGUGUCAUGGUCCGCCCAGACAGCUAUACCAGUACAUAGUAGAUCGCCCCAUAUGCCGGCCUGUCGCAUAGCUGGUCGAUGGAGGCAACAUAUUAACCCCUUUUUUCCAUUAUUUAUACUGAUUUUGAAUCUGUUUAUUGUGAAUUCCCUUUUCGCGGAGGUUGAGUUUACUUUAAAUGAUUCGUUAAUACAUUAAAAUUCGAAACAACUCUUAGCAACGGAUAUCUUGGUUCUC